AUUGAACGCUGGCGGCAGGCCUAACACAUGCAAGUCGAGCGGGGUUUUCGGACCUAGCGGCGGACGGGUGAGUAAUGCGUAGGAAGCUACCCGAUAGAGGGGGAUACCAGUUGGAAACGACUGUUAAUACCGCAUAAUGUCUACGGACCAAAGUGUGGGACCUUCGGGCCACAUGCUAUCGGAUGCGCCUACGUGGGAUUAGCUAGUUGGUGAGGUAAUGGCUCACCAAGGCGACGAUCCCUAGCUGGUUUGAGAGGAUGAUCAGCCACACUGGAACUGAGACACGGUCCAGACUCCUACGGGAGUCAGCAGUGGGGAAUAUUGGACAAUGGGCGCAAGCCUGAUCCAGCCAUGCCGCGUGUGUGAAGAAGGCCUUCGGGUUGUAAAGCACUUUCAGUAGGGAGGAAGCGUUGUGUGUUAAUAGUACACAGCGUUGACGUUACCUACAGAAGAAGCACCGGCUAACUCUGUGCCAGCCGCCGCGGUAAAAC
rnacentral:rRNA from 1 species